GGUUAUGGUGUGGUAAAUAUAGACAAAAGGGGAAACAAGUGGUUUUGGGUUCAGACCCCAUGUCAUUAUUCUUUUCACUGUAUUUUUUCAUUUUACUUAUUUUCAAUUACUCAGUUUUUUGAUCUUCUCUUUUUUUCAACUGAGUACUCUUCCUUCGGUGAGUGCUUCUUUCGUCCCAUUGAUUACAUUUCGUUUUUCUUUUAUGUUUUUUUUUCGUACUCACCUUGGUUUUUG
rnacentral:lncRNA from 1 species